UGAACGCUGGCGGCAUGCCUAACACAUGCAAGUCGAACGGAAACGAAGAAGAGCUUGCUCUUCAGGCGUCGAGUGGCGGACGGGUGCGUAACGCGUAGGAAUCUACCUUAUAGUGGGGGACAACUCGAGGAAACUCGAGCUAAUACCGCAUAAUCCUUACGAGGGAAAGCAGGGGAUCUUCGGACCUUGUGCUAUUAGAUGAGCCUGCGUCGGAUUAGCUAGUUGGUAGGGUAAUGGCCUACCAAGGCAACGAUCCGUAGCUGGUCUGAGAGGACGACCAGCCACACUGGGACUGAGACACGGCCCAGACUCCUACGGGAGGCAGCAGUGGGGAAUAUUGGACAAUGGGCGCAAGCCUGAUCCAGCAAUGCCGCGUGUGUGAAGAAGGCCUUAGGGUUGUAAAGCACUUUCAGUAGGGAAGAAAUGCGUGUAGUUAAUAGCUGCGCGUCUUGACGGUACCUACAGAAGAAGCACCGGCUAACUCC
rnacentral:rRNA from 1 species